rnacentral:rRNA from 1 species
UACGUAGGGUGCAAGCGUUAAUCGGAAUUACUGGGCGUAAAGCGUGCGCAGGCGGUGAUGUAAGCCAGAUGUGAAAGCCCCGGGCUUAACCUGGGAAUGGCAUUUGGGACUGCAAGGCUUGAGUGCGGCAGAGGAGACUGGAAUUCCUGGUGUAGCAGUGAAAUGCGUAGAUAUCAGGAGGAAUACCGAUGGCGAAGGCAGGUCUCUGGGCUGACACUGACGCUCAUGCACGAAAGCGUGGGGAGCAAACAGG